rnacentral:rRNA from 1 species
CUUCCACUCUACGUGGAAUUGAGCUCUAUGGUGACUCGCUGACGCUUGUCGCGCGCGUGCUCCUUCGAUGUCCGUCGGCACAUGACGUGCUGGACGACCAAACGUUUCGCGAUAUUCCUGGCUUGGAGUCGAAGCAGACACGUUCCGGGGACGCGAAGAGGCAACCAUCCGUUUGGUUGGCUUGGGAGAGGAAGACUGGGUUGAGUAGGAACGCAGGCGGCGCAAGGACAGGCGUCUCAGUGUCACAGGCUGGUCGGUCAGUUUUAUGUUCCAAUUGGCUGUCUGGUUCCCGGAGUUAAUGUCACUUACGGGGUUGGCGGCAAAUUGAAGAGUGAAGGGCAAGUCUGGUGCCAGCAGCCGCGGUAAUAUCAGCUCCAAUAGCGUACAUCAAAAUUGUUGCAGUUAAAAAGCUCGUAGUUGGAUUUUUGCAUUGGAUGUCCGGUCCGUUUCCUUUGGGACUGUGUACUUAUGGAUGUUCGGAGCAUUUUUCGUGAGGCUACCUUUGAAAAAUGAAUUAAGGCGAAAGCAUUUACCAAGGAUUUUUUUAUUAAAUAAGGACGAAAGUUAGGGGAUCGAAGCUGAUUAGAUACUAUCGUAGUCUUAACCAUAAACUAUGCCGACUCGAGAUUGGCAGUCGUUCACUUAAAUUGACCUUGUCAGCACCGUAUGAGAAAUCGAAGUCUUUGGGUUCCGGGGGGAGUACGGUCGCAAGGCUAAGACUUAAAGAAAUUGACGGAAGGGCACCACCAGGAGUGGAGCCUGCGGCUUAAUUUGACUCAACUCGAGAAAACUUACCAGGUUCAGACAUGAUAAGGAUUGACAAAUUGAGAGCUCUUCCUUGAUUCUAUGAGUUGUGGUGCAUGGCCGUUCUUAGUUGGUGGAGUGAUUUGUCCGGUUAAUUCCGUUAACGAACGAGACCUCCGCGUGCUAAAUAGUUCUGCUUACCAUUUUUGGUAGGUUUGUGGACUUCUUAGAGGAACUUUGGGUAAUCAAACCGAAGGAAGUUGGAGGCAAUAACAGGUCUGUGAUGCCCUUAGAUGUUCUGGGCCGCACGCGCACUGAUGCGUUCAACGAGUAUAUAACCUUGAUCGACAGGUCUGGGUAAUCUUGUGAAUGCACAUCGUGCUAAAGAUAGACUGUUGCAAUUAUCAGUCUUGAAUGAGGAGUUCCUAGUAAAUGCAAAUCAUCUGCUUGCGUUGAUUACGUUCCUGCCCUUUGUACACACCGCCCGUCGCACCUACCGAUUAAAUGACUCGGGGAAAAAUUGGGACCGUGAGUCCGCUUGCUUUAUUGCGAGUGGAUUGAUGGGAUUUUUUUAAACCUCGUCAUUUAGAGGAAAAUGAAGUCGUUACAAGGUUUCCGUAGGUGAACCUGGGGAAG